CGGACGGGUGAGUAACGCGUGGGUAACCUGCCUUACACAGGGGGAUAACACCUGGAAACAGGUGCUAAUACCGCAUAAGCGCACAGCUUCGCAUGAAGUGGUGUGAAAAACUCCGGUGGUAUACGAUGGUUCCGCGUCUGAUUAGCUUGUUGGUGGGGUAAUGGCUCACCAAGGCGACGAUCAGUAGCCGGCCUGAGAGGGUGAACGGCCACAUUGGGACUGAGACACGGCCCAAACUCCUACGGAAGGCAGCAG
rnacentral:rRNA from 1 species